CCUACGGGGCGCAGCAGUGGGGAAUAUUGGGCAAUGGGCGCAAGCCUGACCCAGCAACGCCGCGUGAAGGAAGAAGGCUUUCGGGUUGUAAACUUCUUUUAUGAGGGACGAAACAAAUGACGGUACCUCAUGGAUAAGCCACGGCUAACUACGUGCCAGCAGCCGCGGUAAUACGUAGGUGGCAAGCGUUAUCCGGAUUUACUGGGUGUAAAGGGCGUGUAGGCGGGACUGCAAGUCAGAUGUGAAAAUUAUGGGCUCAACCCAUAACCUGCAUUUGAAACUGUAGUUCUUGAGUGAUGGAGAGG
rnacentral:rRNA from 1 species